rnacentral:rRNA from 1 species
AUUGAACGCUAGCGGGAGGCCUUACACAUGCAAGUCGAACGAGUGGCGGACGGGUGAGUAAUAUAUGGGAACAUGCCCAGUAGCGGGGGAUAACUACUGGAAAGAGUGGCUAAUACCGCAUACCAUUAGAGCUGCCCAUAUCGGAUUAGCUAGUUGGUGGGGUAAAGGCUCACCAAGGCAACGAUCCGUAGCUGGUCUGAGAGGAUGACCAGCCACACUGGGACUGAGACACGGCCCAGACUCCUACGGGAGGCAGCAGUGGGGAAUUUUGGACAAUGGGCGAAACCCUGAUCCAGCCAUGCCGCGUGUAUGAGAAGGCCUUCGGGUUGUAAAGUACUUUUGGCAGAGAGGCGGUAUCUGCAGAAGAAGCACCGGCUAACUACGUGCCAGCCGCCGCGGUAAUAC